AAAGUGGUAGUUCAGUUGGUUAGCUGUUGCCUUAGAGAAAGCGGCCUGUCACGCCGGGGGUCGCGGGUUCGAGUCCCGUCCACUCCGCCA
rnacentral:tRNA from 1 species